rnacentral:antisense_RNA from 1 species
CUUCACCGAGCCCAGCCACAGCGGCUCCGCCCGCCUCCCGCCGUACGUGGCGAGCAGCGCCUGGGCCUC